AACUCGGCAAAAUGACCCCGUAACUUAGGGAUAAGGGGUGCCACCAUCAGGUGGCCGCAGAGAAUAGGCCCAAGCGACUGUUUACCAAAAACAUAGGUUUCUGCUAAGUCGCAAGACGAUGUAUAGGAGCUGACGCCUGCUCGGUGCUGGAAGGUUAAGGGGAUCUGUUAGAGCAAUCGAAGCAGUGAACUUAAGCCCCAGUAAACGGCGGCCGUAACUAUAACGGUCCUAAGGUAGCGAAAUUCCUUGUCGGGUAAGUUCCGACCCGCACGAAAGGCGUAACGAUUUGGGCACUGUCUCAACAACAGACUCGGUGAAAUUGUAA
rnacentral:rRNA from 1 species